rnacentral:antisense_RNA from 1 species
AAUACAGCUCGUUUAAAACAAGCUGGAGUCUCCAUUCCGUUUUCCGCGUUGCUUCUCACAACUCACGGUUAGAAUCCAGAAGUAAAGAGAACCCCAGGGAAGCGUAAGGAAGAUGAAUAGGACAAAGAUUCUAAGAAGGUGGGAAGGAAGAAGGCUGCAGUCUAUUUCAAGUCUGGUGAAUUUCAGUCACUGUAGCCUUUAUUGUUAUUUUAGAGCCACUUAGACCAAAAGAGAAGGAGCUUAAAUUGCUGGUGAAAGAAGACUGCAGCUGAGUUCUAUUAUCAAAGCAAAGUGCUGUCCUGUACUUGAAAUAACUCUAGCAAAUACUGUGCUUCCUGCACAGAACCUGUUGGAUUACUCACACAAAUGUCAAAGAACAGGUUGACAUUUUAGCAAGUUAUCAGCCUGGCCCAUAUAGAAAAAGACAGACAUUUCUAGUUUUUACACUUUGCAGGGUUCAGAGAGCAGUUGAAUGUUAUUUUUAGUCUAUGAUCCAAAGCAGCUAAUGACAGAGUCUACCUUAGAAGAUAAACAGGCUUCUGAUUUAUAACACAAGGCUAAUUGUAGAUAUUGUGUGAUGUGUCCAGUUAAAUUAACAAAACAGCUUUGCAACAGUGUGGAGUAAAGACUUAGGCUUAAAACAGAGAAUUUGAGGAUUGAGAUAAGUCCAGAGAAGCAGCAGGAUGGAGUGCAGAUGCAAGAGAAAGGCUAUGUCAAUGCCAUAUUAUAAAUAUAGCUCAUAGACAGCAUAUCCUAGUGUGUGUCUGAAGAGGUCUGUGCCCUUGAGGAAAGGGGAGAUUAUGACCUUAUCCCCCAGUAUCAUUUUCAUAAAUUCUUAGAGACCUUGGGGCAGUGAGUAGGAGACUGGUUGAGAUGAUUACUAUAGGAAAAUUGAAUAACUUAAAGUAUGGAUAUCUUACUGUUACAGGAAAUGCUUAGGAGGUGAGGUACUCUGAAUUUAGAAUGUGAUUGCCUAAGGGAUUCGGAGUCAAGAAGCAGGACAUAGGAUGAAGAUACAACCACUGUCAAGCUGGUCAUUACGACAGGGAGAAAUAGCCCUCCACAGAGUGAGAUUGGUGAGACUUGCAAGAAUUGAAUGAUGAUCCCUUUGGGCGAAACUCUUUAGGGUGAGUUUGCUUGUCUGGGAAAGACAGAACUCAGAGCCGUAAUUGAGAUGAACUGCAAGAUGGGUUCAGCAGCAGAAAGUGGCUGGAAAGGGGGAGGGACCAGGAGCCAAGUGGGUGACUACCUGCCAGGCGCUCUCCUGAGGGCACGCAUCUUCCCUGGUGGUGUGACUAGAAAGAGGGAGUCCAAAGUACAGUCCCUUCUCCUCCACCUGUCACACAUCAACACUUCCCUCUUUUCCUGUGAGCCAAGGUGGAAAGUCUGGUCCAGAAUGGACGAUAUGGGUGGAGGGGUGAGUCAGUAUUAUUUUUCAUGUUGGUGGUUGGACUCAGUUUAAAAGAUGGAUGUCUUAGGGUAGUAGGUAGCAUAGUUUUCCUAGCUUUGUUGUCACAGGUGAUAGAAGCUGGACCAUAAGUUAGGGUCACAGCUCCCUUGAUUCUCCUUCUUCUUUGUUCUCCUUCCUCUUUCACAACUCUCUCUCCUAGGUACUUUUAGUCAGGCUACAGAUGGAAUUCUGGGCAUUUGCUCUAGAGAGAAUUUUCCUAGGUAGCUUUUGCAUUAGACAGACUUCAUUAUACAUUUUGCUUUGCGUGGGGCCUCUCUCUCCUGACACAGAUACAUGGGCCCCUUGUAGCCCACAGCCCCCAAUGUCACACAUUAGUGGCACAGGCUUGGUUUUGACAUUGGUUUCAGGUACCCAGAGAAGAGCACUUUCUGUAAGAACAGUUCAAUGGCAGGACCCAUAAUGGUUAUGAGCACGGAGGCCUCCAGUGCAGGAGCAUCCGCAGUGGUUGCUGAUCCCCAGAAGGGAGAUGUACUCUCUUUCUUUUUGUGUUUCCAAAGGCAAAGGCAUACUCUUAGGAGGCAGAUAGAAAGAUGUACAGUUAAGAAGUAGGGUUUUAAGUUCUGUUAACAGCUGGUUUAUUACCUUUUUUGGAACUUUCUCACCCUUUCUGCAGUGAAAUAGGCUAUUUCUCUAUGUAGGAGUACACCUGUGGGGAAAAAAAUGUGUGGAAACCUAGCUAUUCCCGAAAAAGGAGCACAAAAAGAAGGACAUCUGAGAUUGCUGAAUACUGUUUAGAUGACAAAGAACUUAGAAUGUUGAGAGGGGACUUACAGGGAAUGGGCUGAUAAAAGACUUGAGCAUCAUCUAGUAUUUACCCCUUUCUCCUCCAACUUGAGUUAGCUAAAUACACACACACACACACACACGAAUAUUCCUGCUUAUAAUAAACGCUCUAAUCAACAAAUCUACUGGAUCAUAAGCUCUGCCAAGGUAGGGCCUGUGGUGUUCCCUUUUUAUCCUUAGCCUGUAGCACCAGGCCUGGCACAUAGAUUCUUAGUAUCUACUGAGUGAAUGAAUGGUUGAACAGCUCAUAAUGAAGAACUGAUUCUGAGAAUCUGUGGGAUACUUCAAAAGAGAAUGAAUACAAUGCAUAUAUUAAAAGAGGAGGCAGUCUGCAGCCACUGCCAUCUCUGCCACCGCCAGCUGUGCGGGUGAGUAUCCCCAGGCAGCACGUUGGAAGUUGUUUUCAACCGUAUCCAGCCCUUGCCAAAUACAUCCUAUUUGUCACACAUCCAAAGUGGAGAAGUUUGACUGUCUCUACUGCAGGGACCCCUUGCAGAGGAAAAAGUAUGUGCAGAAGGGUGACCACCACUGCUGCCUGAAAUGCUUUGACAGGUUCUGUGCCAACACCUGCAUGGAAUGCUGCAAGCCCAUCCGUGUGGACUCCAAGGAGGUGCACUAUAAAAACUGCUUCUGGCAUGACUCCUGCUUCCACUGUGCCAAGUGCCUUCACCCCUUGCCAAUGAGACCUUUGUGGCCAAGGACAACAAGAUCCUGUGCAACAAGUUCGCCACUCAGGAGGACUCUCCCAAGUGUAAGGGGUGCUUCAAGGCCUUUGUGGCAGGAGAUCAAAAAUGGAGUACAAGGGGACCAUCUCGCACAAAGACUGCUUCACCUGUAGCAACUGCAAGCAAGUCAUGGGGACUGGAAGCUUCUUCUCUAAAGGGAAGGACUUCUACUGUGUGACUUGCCAUGAGACCAUGUUUGCUAAACAUGGUGUGAAGUGCAACAAGGCCAUCGCAUCUUGGGGAGUCACCAGGAUGAGCCCUGGCAUGCCGAGUGCUUUGUGUGUGUUACCUGCUCUAAGAAGCCAGCUGUGCAGCGUUUCACCACUGUGGAGGACCAGUAGAACUGUGUGGAUUGCUACAAGAACUUUGUGGCCAAGAAGUGUGCUGGAUGCAAGCACCCCAUCACUGGGUUUGGUAAAGGCUCCAGUGUAGUGGCCUAUGGACAAUCCUGGCAUGACUGCUGCUUCCACUGCAAAAAAUGCUCUGUGAAUCUGGCCAACAAGCACUUUGUUUUCCACGAGGACCAAGUAUAUUGCCCUGACGGUGCCAAAAAGUUGUAAACUGACAGGGGCUCCUGCCCUGUAAAAUGCAAUUUGAAUUUUGUUCUUUGUGUCCUUACUCUCUGCCCUAUACCGUCAAUGGGGAAGAGUGGUCUUUCCCCUCUUUAAAGGUCUCCUUCUGUCUUUUCUCCCAUUUUACAGUAUUACUCAAAUAAGGGCACACAGUGAUCAUGUUAGGAUUUAGCAAAAAGCAACCCUGCAGCAAAGUGAAUUUCUGUCCAGCUGCAACUGAAAAACGAAAACUUAGGUAGAUUGACUCUUCUGCAUGUUUCUCACAGAGCAGAAAAGUGUUAGUCAUUUAGCCACUUAGUGAUGUAAGCCAAGAAGCAUAUGAGAUAAAGCCUCCACUGAGAUGCCUCUUGCGGCUCAGCUGGGACCUACUGUGUAGUCACACAACAUGCAAGAGUUGUAGUGGCUGCUUCAACUCGCUGCUCACCCUCUUCUGUGAGCAGGAAAAGAACUUACUGACGUGCAUGAUUUAACUUCCUCAUCAAAACUCUGACCUUCCUUCUGUUAUUUUGUGCUUUCAAAUGACUAAUAUGCACUCCCAGAAAAUUAACAUUUGAACUUAGCUGUAAUUCUAAACCGUACUAAUGUUUGAUUUCCCCGUGUGGCAUGUUUUCUGAGUGUUCCUACCUUAAAGCAUGGAACAUGCAGGUGAUUUGGGAAGUGUAGGCAGAUCUGAGAAAACGAGCCUGUUUCAGAGGAACAUUGUCACAGCAAAUACUUCUGGAAACUUAACAAAACUAACCCUAAUGUCCUUUUUAUUGUUUUUAAUUAGGAAUAUUUUUGUUUUAAUUAAUAGCAAAAUAGUUUAUAGGUUUGGAAACUUCCAUGAAAAUAUUCUAUUUAUUUUAUUUUAUUAUUAUUAUUAUUUUUUGAGAUGGAGCCUUGCUCUGUCGCCCAGGCUGCAGUGCAGUGGCGCAUUCUCAGCUCACUGCAACCUUCGCCUCCCAGGUUCAAGCAAUACUCCUGUCUCAGCCUCCUGAGUAGCUGGGACUACAGGCGUGAGCCACUACACCCGGUUAACUUUUGAAUUUUUGGUAGAGAUGGGGUUUCAACAUAUUGGUCAGACUGAACUCCUGACCUCAGGUGAUCCACCCACCUAGGCCUCCCAAAAUGUUGGCAUUACAGGCGUGAGCCACCGUGCCUGGCCUGCAUGAAAAUAUUCUAGCCCUUUCAGAUGUUCCUGUAGUAUUGAAAUUCAUCCUAUGGAAGUAACUGCAAAACUCUAUAGGGGGAGUUGAGCAGGUGCCAGGGCUGUCAUCAACAUGGAUAUGACAUUACAGAGCAGUGGUGAGUUGAAUCCCUUGUAACGCAGUUGUCUGCUCUUGUCCAUGUGUUAAUGAGCGCUGCAAAGUCCCUUCUAUAGCGAUUCCUAGGAAUUUUCCUCAAGAGGAAAUGCAGAUUUCUACCUACCGCUUACCUGAAAUACAGGAUCACCUACUUACUGUAUUCUACAUUAUUUUAUGAUAUAGUAUAAUGAGACAAUAUCAAAAGUAAACAUGUAAUGACUAUGUGUACUAACAUUCUUGUAGGAGUGGUUAGAGAAGCUGAUGUCUCAUUUCUACGUUCUGUCAUUAGCUGUUAUCGUCUAAUGUUUCAGUGUAUCCUUAUGGAAAUAAAGCAGUAUAUAAAUUUAAAAAAAGAGGAGGAUUAGUCCAGGAACUACAGAAUGAUUAACUUACUUUUAUACUGUAAAAAAGUUAGUAUUCCCAUGAUGUUUCUCCAAAAUAGUUUGAAAAUAAUUAGAAGAAUUAUAAAUUAUAGUGUGUAUCUCUCCUCUCUUACCAAGGACUAAGGGCUAACGUAUCAACAUACCUCAUUUUACUGUGCUUUGCAGAUACGGCAUGUUUUACAAAUGGAAGGUUUGUGGGAACCUUGAGUUGAGUAAAUCUAUGGGUGUUGUUUUCCCAACAGCAUGUGCUCACUUUGUUAGCUUUUUCUUAAGCAAUAAGAUGUUUUUAAAUUAAGGUAAGUACAUUUUAAAAGACAUAAUACUAUUGCACACUUAAACUACGGUAUAGUGUAAACAUAACUGUUAUAUGCACUGGGAAACCAGAACAUUCCUUUAUUGCAGUGGUCUGGAACUGAAUCUCAGAUAUCUAUAAGGUAUGCCUGUAUAUUAAAAAACUGGUAAGAAUUUUUUUUUUACAGUAACCAAGUGUUUUAUGCUUUUUUGUUUGAUGAGAAUAACUUCUAGCACUAUGAAACAAAUAGCUAUUUAAUUCAACAAUCAGUUUAAUAAACUUUUUGUAACCCCAGCUAGCAAAAUAAAGUCACCUAUUAAGAAAUGAGCCAAAGAGGAAGGUGAACUAUUUUAGAAACGUAGUUUAAAAUGUAUAUGUAGUGACAGAGCGAGACUUUGUCUCAAAAAAAAAAAAAUGUAUAUGUAGUUAAAAAAUCUAAAACCAUCCAUAUUUUUUCAAAAUGGCAUUCAAUGAUGUUCAAGUAAACUAUUUCCUUUACUCGGGAGAUGAGUUUCUCACACCUGCACAAUGACAUCCUGUGGCUAUUAUCAGACAUAUCGGAGACCUUGGACCUUGUGUUGAUUUAUGUAGAGGAUUCCCUUUCCAGAGGAUAUGCUGGAUAAGUCCAGCAAAUUGACUGCAACUCUCUAUAAAACAGAUCUUUCAUAUAUCUGUAA